UCUAUCUCGAGAACUUCUCUUCAGCCGCUCUCUCUCUUGUCUCGCCCUCUCAUUCUUCUCUUCGUCAAUCCUUUCAGUUUUCUCAUCGCCAUAGAGAAUUCGAGAUCCCCAAGGACUAGAUCGAUCAAGCUCACGAGGCUAAGGUCUCGGUUGGGUCAUGAAGACCAGAUCGAUGGCCAGGGAUCUGAGCGAGAUAGUGAAGGAGAUUCUCUCGGUUGGGUGCUAGGUCGAAGGCAAGGAUCUGUAGGAUUUUCAUCGUAGAUUAUCCAGGAGAUUACCGACGGCGAUGUUGAGGUGCUGUACCAAUCUUUAUAUUCGUCAAUGAUACAUCUUCUGCACCUUGGUAUCUCAAUGCCGAAAGACCUCUUGAAACAUCCAAGGAAAUGGAAAUCAGAUCCAGAUUGCUGUUGAAACUGAUGAUGUAUUCAAAAGUGCUUGCUGCUUAGCUUUUUCUAGACCAAGAUGGUUGGAAAACUUAUCAAAAUUGUCAGAUUCUUUUAUAUUGGUGGAAGCUGCUUUAGCAGAGCAUGAAAUUUCUGGGUAUGGAAUGCUAACUUUUGCUCUUACCAUCUGGCAGUACAAUUACAUAAUCAACUCAAGCUGCGGAACUUAUCAAUGGUUAAAUUUUCUCUCUAUCAACCGUUUUGAGAGGAAAAAGAAUAUAGACUUGGCGAUUUCAGCUUUUGCCAUGCUUCGCACCCUUGAAGGAGAUGUGCUUCAUGGUCUUAAUCUAGCUGAAGCUUCCUUGACAAUUGUAGGCAAGUUCCUACUUAUUUUUUGUCCAACUGAUCUUAUUGAUCGAGACCUCAUACUAGUAGAUAAAUAUUCAAAAGUAGGUUUUGCAGGGACGUGUAAUUAAUUACUAGGUGCUCAAUCACCAAGAAGUACGCUCUUACUUGAUUCUGUAAUUAAGCUUGCCCUUUAGGUUCAUUGGUGUCUUGAAUGAUUCAAGUAUUUUGCCAACAAGAAGAACAAUGCUUACUGUUCUUGAGAACUAAUGUGUCCAUGAAUAUUAGUUACUGACCAUGAACAAGGCACUUGAAUAUCAUUGCCUUUCUCUGA